rnacentral:lncRNA from 1 species
GAUGGCGGCGGGGCUGAGGGAUCCCGGUGAGGACAGGCAGGAACCUCCAGGGAUGGCGGCGGGGCUGAGGGAUCCCGGUGAGGACAGGCAGGAACACCCAGGGAUGGCGGCGGGGCUGAGGGAUCCCAGUGAGGAGAGGCAGGAACACCCAGGGAUGGCGGCGAGACUGAGCGGGGUCUGAGGGAAGGCGGGAACUCCCUCAGGUACAGCCGGUUCUAGCCGGUUCUGACGGCUCAGCACAGCCCCUCAGACCUGCUGGUGUGAUACCUUGGGCAAACUGAGAGGAAUCCAAGGACUUGGCCACAGCAGCACAGGAGUCGAAGGCAGAGCCCAUUAGGACCACAGUGUCCCAUGUGAAGUCAGCCAGGAAAGCAUUGCAUGCCUGCAAAUACCCCAGACAAACAGAGGGCAAUUUCAGAGAGGAACCAAGAUAACAGAAGAAACAGGCCAGCAGAAUGACCAUCUCUGCAGACUCCAGUGGCACCGAAAAUUAAAAAUCAGCUCCAAAUCAGGAAGAAAAAGCCCAGCAAUUAACCAAAAAACCGAACAACUGCUGCAAAGAAAUAAAACUUCUUCAUGCGAAAUGCUUCUUGGCUGUGAAGAGCUUCUGCUAUGAGAGGAAAGUUCCUCCAUGAAGAAGGGUGCAGAGCCUGGUUUGCUCAGAGCCAUUUCUCUCAUCAUCUGAACAAAAGCCAUGACAUCAAGACUCCGCAUCAGAGCAGGACCCCUUGGUCCUUCAGAGUCCCUGGCAUGGGAGGUUUCCACUCUGCUUUCCUUUGGAGAACAGGCUGCUUGGGACAGAGAGAAUAC